UAACUCACCCGGCUCACUCUCCCUCAGCCGCUCUUUCUUCUCCCCUUCUCUCCUUCCCCCGACUCCAUGCGAGCGUCGCCGCUGCCGGGAUUCCGCCGCCCAAGCCGUAGGCUCCAUCGCGGGCCCUCUGGUCGGAGGACGCGUGCGACUAGAAUUGAUUCAUAGUUGGGCAAAAGAAGGUAGCCAUGCAGGCUUUUUCUCUAUGGCAGGGAUUCGUUGCUGUUGUGAAUUGUGAUGGAUGAAGCCACAAAGCUAUUGUUUUGGAGCUGAGUGUUAGAUGAAAUAGGGAAUCUGAGAGGUGAGGCAAGUUUAGAGCUACCUCUCAAGUCUGAAUAAAUCAUGUGUUUUGCUACCUGAGACUUGUGUUCAAUCCUUUGUAUCCAUACAGUAACUUUAGAUACCUAGAUUCUGUAUGGGAAAAUGGUUCAUGAUGUGGAUAGUGUAUAUAUCUUCAAUUUAGAUUGACCUUUCUUGGAUGAUUUGUUCAAAAAAUUCUUGAUCAUAUGAAAUAGCGUUGUAGACAUUAUCCUAUAAUAUAUAGUCAAACAUGUGUAAUUUAUA